rnacentral:rRNA from 1 species
AGUGAACGCUGGCGGUAGGCCUAACACAUGCAAGUCGAACGGCAGCACAGUAAGAGCUUGCUCUUACGGGUGGCGAGUGGCGGACGGGUGAGGAAUACAUCGGAAUCUACUUUUUCGUGGGGGAUAACGUAGGGAAACUUACGCUAAUACCGCAUAUGAUCUACGGGUGAAAGCAGUGGAUCUUUGCAGCUUGCGCGUAUGAAUGAGCCGAUGUCGGAUUAGCUUGUUGGCGGGGUAAAGGCCCACCAAGGCGACGAUCCGUAGCUGAGCUGAGAGGAUGAUCGGCCACACUGGAACUGAGACACGGUCCAGACUCCUACGGGAGGCAGCAGUGGGGAAUAUUAGACAAUGGGCGCAAGCCUGAUCCAGCCAUACCGCGUGGGUGAAGAAGGCCUUCGGGUUGUAAAGCCCUUUUGUUGGGAAAGAAAAGCAGCAGGUUAAUACCCCGCUGUUCUGACGGUACCCAAAGAAUAAGCACCGGCUAACUUCGUG